rnacentral:sRNA from 1 species
GUUCCAUUCUCCAAAACUG